rnacentral:rRNA from 1 species
UACGUAGGGUGCAAGCGUUGUCCGGAAUUAUUGGGCGUAAAGAGCUCGUAGGCGGUUUGUCGCGUCUGCUGUGAAAACGCGGGGCUCAACUCCGCGCCUGCAGUGGGUACGGGCAGACUAGAGUGCAGUAGGGGAGACUGGAAUUCCUGGUGUAGCGGUGGAAUGCGCAGAUAUCAGGAGGAACACCGGUGGCGAAGGCGGUUCUCUGGGCCUGACCUGACGCUGAGGAGCGAAAGCGUGGGGAGCGAACAGG